rnacentral:rRNA from 1 species
CCUACGGGUGGCAGCAGUGAGGAAUAUUGGUCAAUGGGCGCGAGCCUGAACCAGCCAAGCAGCGUGAAGGAUGACUGCCCUACGGGUUGUAAACUCUUUUUAUAAAGGAAUAAAGUGAGGCACGUGUGCCUUUUUGUAUGUACUUUAUGAAUAAGGAUCGGCUAACUCCGUGCCAGCAGCCGCUGUAAUCCGGAGGAUCCGAGCGUUAUCCGGAUAUAUUGGGUUUAAAGGGAGCGUAGAUGGGUUGUUAAGUCAGUUGUGAAAGUUUGCGGCUCAACCGUAAGAUUGCAAGUGAUACUGGCAGUCUUGAGAACAGUAGAGGUAGGCGGAAUUCGUGGUGUAGCGGUGAAAUGCUUAGAUAUCACGAAGAACUCCGAUUGCGAAGGCAGCUUACUAAACUGCCACUGACAUUGAUGCUCGAAAGUGUGGGUAGCAAACAGGAUUAGAUACCCUUGUAGUC